rnacentral:rRNA from 1 species
UCGGGAAUUUUGGGCAAUGGGCGAAAGCCUGACCCAGCAACGCCGCGUGAAGGAUGAAGUAUUUCGGUAUGUAAACUUCGAAAGAAUAGGAAGAAUGAAUGACGGUACUAUUUAUAAGGUCCGGCUAACUACGUGCCAGCAGCCGCGGUAAUACGUAGGGACCAAGCGUUGUUCGGAUUUACUGGGCGUAAAGGGCGCGUAGGCGGCAAUUCAAGUCAUCUGUGAAAUCUCCGGGCUUAACUCGGAACGGUCAGAUGAUACUGCUUUGCUAGAGUGCAGAAGGGGCAAUCGGAAUUCUUGGUGUAGCGGUGAAAUGCGUAGAUAUCAAGAGGAACACCUGAGGUGAAGACGGGUUGCUGGGCUGACACUGACGCUGAGGCGCGAAAGCCAGGGGAGCAAACGGGAUUAGAUACCCUUGUAGUCCCUGAGCGGGCUGGCAAGGCGCAU